AGAAUUCAUGGAGAUCGUUCGUUCCAUUGUGAUGUCUGUGGAGUUUGUUUGGAUGUCCAACUUCGUGGAAAUCACAAAUGUCGUGAAGGUUCUGCCCAUGAUGAAUGUUGCAUUUGUUUGGAGGUAGUGUAUCAAUUCGAGCUCUUCAUCUCUUCUUUCUUUUUCUGAACAACAUUCUGCUAAUCGGUGUGAAAUGGCAUAAAGGUUGUUCUUCACUUAAUCAUCACAUAGUGUUUGUUGUGCCAAUGGCAUUAGUUGCAUUGGUGCUUACAAAACAACUGCAUAGGGUACGAAUCACUACAAUAGGGCUUAAGUGGAAGCCGAAUUUAAUGGGCUCUCAGCAUUGACCAGGGUUAUAAAACGGAUUUUAAUUUCUUUUUCGUGCAGGAUGCUUUCACUGGAUGUCAAAUCCUUCCUUGUUCUCACAAAGUCCAUAAAGAAUGUGCAACUCAAAUGAUAAGGAGCGGAAUGUGAGUACCUGUACUUUUAUAAGUUGGAUACAUUAAAUACGAUUACACCGUACAGAGGUAGGAAGUAUUGAGUACAUAUUGUGAAUCCAUGUAUUAUUGUCUGAGGAGAGGCGAGUCCUUUCAGUAUGAAAUGAUAAAAAUCCGAAACUAGUCCAUUAUUUGAUAGAGUGGACGGUACUGAGCUCGUGGGCGAGGUGCUGUCUAUUCCCUCGAAAAAUAGAUCCUUGGAUUGAGGCAUUUACACUAUUUAAAAUCCUACUGUCGUACAGUUACCAUUGAUUACUACCAGUCUUUUUUUACUUGACUUAUUCCUUUUUAUUGGAAUUCGUUAUCCUGAAAAGCUAUAAGCACAACCUUUCCACUACUGGCUGGUACAGGCAGAAUUUGAAUUUCAAAUCGUGAUUGAGUUAAUGCUUGCCAACUUCAAUCAUAAAGCUACAAUCUUUGCCAGAAACUAUGGGACAGCUGCUGUAAUUUCAUAUGAUUUGAAAGGAAUAGCGCCCCCCGUUCCCCCAGUUCAAUGUUGGGCCAACAAACAAUCUGAUGUCUGGAUGCGCGGCGCCAACAUUGAAACGGGUCGGGGGAGGGAGGGUGGAAAAUAUGUAUCAGAAAAUGGUAUAUUACAACCGAAUUCAUGUGAAAACUAGAUUGUCCCAAUCUAUAUUGUCAAAGAUUGUAGAGGUACUACAAUUACAGUAUCAGCAGAUAGAAUUUCCCUGCUAGUGAAAAUCUAUCCAGAAACACAAUGUGUAUACCAGCGAAAUUGAAUCAAGAUUCUCAACGACAAGAUAGUAUAAUUAGAUCAACAAUUGUUGAAAAGCUGCCCUGAUGACAACGAGCAAUUUCGUUCUCGACCAAUCAGCGCAUUUGUUAACAAUUUCGCUCUAAGCCAAUCAGAAUGGGUAAUUAGUUAUUGUAGGCAGUUUCCCUGCGAGCUGAGAAAGCCCACUUCCGGUAAAAACAUACAUUUGAACAGAAAAUAUAGGGUCUUAAUUAAAGCUUCGAGGGGGUCAGGAUUUUUAAUUUUUUAUUGGAUUCAACGUGACAAGAUAAAAUAAGAAAUUUUCAAAAAAUUCUCUCGAUUUGCGUUUUAUUGACUAGUUCUAAAUUUAUCGGAAUUCGAACGUACGCGCUUUUUAUACUCCGCUGUUUGCCCUGAUCAAUUCUAAAUAGGCAGUUUUACUGUAUUUUAAGACUUGGAUCUCAGUUUAAAAACAUCGUCUAUGCAAAACUAGCAUGUAAUAAUUGUGAUUUGGGAUAAAGAGAUUUUUUCAAACAUGAUUAUAAAGCGUGUAUAAAACAAGGAGUACAUUUUUUUACGCUUAAAGGCACAGUUCAGCCUUUUGAAUGAUGGUCUUUAAGAUGCAUUUUAAUUGAAAAAACUAACUAGGAAAGUCAAUUAAGUAUAUCUUAUAUUAUCUCCUUUUCUGCUAUUGUAUAGCUUGAAAACAGCAAAUAAGACUCCCACUUUUAGCUUUUUAAAAAAAAAAAAUGACUUUGGAAAGCCAGACAAAUGUACACAAAUAAAUAGACAAUAAGACGCCGACAUUUUGUUCGCUGGCCUAACCACUUUGAUAAGCCAACCAAAACUAGGGAUAAAAUGUUCUUAAAAUUGUUUUGGAUAAAAGACAAGGUUAAGGAACACAUAUUCAAACUGUAUAAAAGUAUAAAACUGAAAAAAGACAACACAACUGACAGUUUUGGCUCAUGCCUUCGGCUUUUCGAACAAAGAAGACAAAACCCUUUAAAGAAAUAUCAAUACGUAAAUGAGAAACACUGUCAGCACGAUGUAAAAAUCAGAAGUUUGAUAUGGUAUUGCAACGAAUGGACGAGAAAACUCCAAACAUAAACAACAACAAACUUUAUUGCCUUAAAUCUUAGUGAAAUUCACAAGUUACAUAAAGCUUAGUGGAAUUCGCAAGUUACAUAAAGCUUCAAAAGCUCAGGCAAGACAAUUGACAAAUGCCUAGCAACAGCUGACGUAGAGUGAAUUAAUGGUUAUCCUACGGAUAGUUAAACCCGGUACUAUACGGGCUUUGCAUGUGCAGCGUAAUUUUAUCGUCCGGUUAACUAACCGUCGGAAAGGCAAUUUAUACGUCAGAUAGCGGCUAAACGCCGUUUAAGUUAAACGCCUUUCGAAGCUAAUCCAGCUUUGAACAACCGGACCCUGGAGUCUGUCACUUAGUUGAUUAGGUUGCUGCACCAGAAUUGCAGGGCGGAAGGUUCGAUUCCUGCCAGAGAAGUUGAGUUGUAGAGUUACAUUUUUCGCAGCUGUUUGUAGUUAAGUCUAAAACACUACCGAAUUCUUAAUUGAACUAAAUUUUAAAAUUUUGUAUUUAAUGGGUUUCCCCCUAUAGUUAGUCCCAUAUACUAUGGAGGUAUAAGAUUGCUCCAUGGCUCCCUAACUUAGCCGCCAGGCUUUUAUAAACACGCUAACUAAAUACAUUCUGGGUUUUUUUUCACAGCACGCGCUGCCCAAUUUGUCGUGAGAGUUUUGCUCACAAGCUUGAACGACGAUCACUGCCAAAUUCACGAAAGCGUUCUGGAAAAUAACAAUGGACUAGCCUGGACUAAGACUUUCAUGUGCAUAUGCAUGAUAACAAGAAUAUGGUUCUGCUUCAUGUCGCCCGUGAACUUCUAAGCACGGUUAGGCUAUUCAUCCAGUAACUGUAAGUAUUUGUGUAACUUGAAAAUAUAUCAAUGCUCAGGAAGUUAAUUAUAAGUUGCCCGAAAAUUGGUAUAGCUACUAUAUGACUAAUUUUGGUGGCAUUAUGCAUCAUAACGCUCGUCUAAGGAAGCAAAAAAACUUUAAAAAUCUUAGGUUUUGUCUUAUGUGUUGAAUAUUACCACAAACUGACAAAAACACAGUUUUUAAUCCAGUCCUCCCACGAACUGACGUCCGUAUGUUGACAAAAACGUCGCGAACUUAAGCUCACUAAUACUGGAACGAUAUCUGUAGGCAAACACGCCCAUACUUGCCUGAAGCCAAGAUGAGGCAAACCGCGCGAGGAAAUUGCACUUUUAAAAGGACUAAGGACAGUUAUUUUCGAUGGUAAUGAGCAAGAAAAAGUCGUUUUUCAUCAAAAGACUUCAAUUUUAAAAACCCAAAUACGAUUUAUUAAAUAGUUAGAACUGCUGCAUAUGCAUUUAGCAACAGAGUGUCAGGUUUGUUUUCAUAAAAACGACACUGGUUGAACGUGCCGAAGCGAACUUCGCUCUUUAAUUAAAAAAACCCAACAUAAAUCCACCGACCAAUACCUGGUUUGUAUUAAUGUCUAGGUAUAGUUGUCUAUUUUGAGUGCUUUUUGACAUCUCUAAAACGUUCAAAAUUGUUCAAAAAUUUUUCCGUAGAAACCAGUGGGUGAAACCUAUGAUUUGGCGCCCGGGAGAAGUAUCGCGCGCUCUGACUUUCAAAAAAGAACUUGGGAGAGUUCAAUUUCCUCGUAACUUUGUUUUUUUUUAGCAAAAAUACACCGAAAAAUUAGGUUUUUCGUCCGAAGAUUUCAAUUUCAACGAUUUAACUUAGUUUUCUGGAUAGUUCUAAGUAUUCUGCAUCAACUAGCUGCAAAAACUUUUGAGGUAUCAGCUUUAUAUUUGAAAUAUUUAACAAAUUUGAACGUGCUGAAGAAAACUCCGCUUUUCAGCUUUUAAAAAAUAAGGUUUAAAUCUCUCUACGUUCACGAAACUUGUUUUGGAGUGAAGUUGGAUUAAAAAAAUCGGUGUAAUUUUGGCUUUUGACCUUCAUGGUUUUAAAUUCAAGGAAUAAUGUCUAUCAACCAUAAUGUUGUUGCGGCCAUAGUGCGACAUGGGUGUUAAGGUUUGCUUCAAAUUUUCAAUAGCAAAUCUUCAUUCAAACGAAUUUUCUGCAGCUGUUUAACAUUUCCUGCGAGCAGAGCUCGCGUGCUCGCCUAUUUUUCCACCCCUAAUAAAUAGCCGGGCGGAAUUAGUACCCUCGCUGGCUUACGCCCGGCCGUUGGCUCGGGGAUGAUUGACUUAUCAAAGAAUAACAGUUACCUUUGAAAUGUUUUUAUGUAAUACCAAAUUUGAACUUUUUUAUUUCAUGGACGUGUGGUUUUAAUUCUACCACAACUUUAAACUGUUCAUGUUGAAGAGUCAAACCUUGCGAAAGAUUAAUCUCAUUUUUCUCAUUUUCUUUACUCCACAACAAAUGACCAAAAAUCAUGACUUUGAUCAAUAGCCUAAAAUUUAAGCAAAUUAAGCGAGUUUCAUCACGGACAGUACAUGGGAUGUUUUUCAAACAUAAGUUGUUAUGGAAUGACCAUAUUACAGAAUUAACAUCAUCCUGUUACGAUAAUUUAGCGCUGCUGAAAAGUUGAAACGAUUUAAGCCACCAUAUAUUAUGCCAGAAUUUAGACUAGUCAGAAUUAGGCAACUACAAGCGUUUUUAAUUUAAUCAUUUGUUGCAGAGAAAACGACCAAAAUUCCCACAUAAGUCUGCCACAAAUGUGCCACGAUUUAAUUUCUAUUCAAGGCUUCGAAAUCAUUAAUUUUCAAGGAUUGGAAUAUUGUAAUGGAAACAUAUUUUUUUUCGGUCUUAUUGGUGUAUUAUUAUACACUUAAUGUCUGCUCUCGAGGGAAAUAGUUUGUUUGUUUUCCCGAGAGUCUCAAUGUUGGAAUAUUGAAAUUCGAGGGAAAACAAAACUAACUAUUUCCCGAGGGAACAGACAUUAAGCGUUUUAUUAUAUAGCGACAAACAAAAAUCAACAUUCAACAACAUUCAUACAACAAUUGUAAUUCGUGACAAAAACUGUAUAUUGUAAAUGAGUUUAAAAUUAAAAGAACCUAUACUUUUUCAGCAACAUAUCCUGUUGCCUGUUGUGUAUUUUUCUUCUCCUUUGCAUUCUUUUUUUGAACACAAACUUGGAAAAUCGUAGUUUGUAAUUAUGCUAUUUGUGCCGCCAUUUUGUUUAUUUAUGUACGUAGCCGGUCGUGGCGGGCAACAAUUUUUCACUUGUUGCCCGGCGGGAUACAGUGCAUUUAUCUGAUGUCACGUGACCACAAAUCAGUCAAUCAUGUUUGGUGUUCACCCUAGCUAUAUAACAAAUACAAUUAUUCGACCUAGUUGAGCGAAAUAUUGUGAUUUAUCAGUGGUGAGGAGAUCAAUUAUUUGGCGAGGAGAUCGAUUAUUUGUGGUCGUCAUAAAGUUCAACAAAUCUGUACAAUCACUUCUAGCAAAGAUACCAAGUCGUCUUCUGAAAACUCAGCAAAGCGAACCAUGUUUACUUUUGUGUUUAUUUGAAUUUCUUUUCAAAAAUCUUAAAUGCACUUGCGUAAAUCGAUAUUUUGCAAUUGAGUUGAUUUCAAAAGCGCGCAUGCUCACACAUUAUUUAUGCCAGUUAUUUGCAGCUGACGUAUUAUUCUCACCAGGUUGUAGAGAAAAUUAGCCAAUCAACGUUAAGAAAAUGAAUACGUAAAUGAUAAUAUAAAUUAUUUGAAGAUACAGUAUACAAUCUGUUUUGCACAUGUUUACAUUGGGGGUUCCUGCUUGUGAUAUGAGCGCUGUUACGUAGCCAGGUUCUAUGCCUUGGUUAUCGUAUUUUACUCUGGAAGCACAAAUAUAUGAAUAGUUGGCACCAUUUUGUUCUGGUCAUUAUUAUUAUAUUUGGAUACAAACAUGUAAUAAGACUUGGUACCUGCGAACAGACAUUAAGGCAUCUUCGUACUGUAUACAAUCUAUCUGUGUUGGUAUAAAUAUUUCUCCUUUCAUUUAUUUAGAUCCAGACGAUUGAUCGUGGUUUUCAAUUUUUCUUUCUUCUAUUCUUAUUUAGUUUGUUAAAUCUAGCUUUAAAAUUAAGGAAUGUGAAUGUAUGUAAUGAAUGUGCAAGAAAUAUCCGAAAUCAGUUUCAAAGUUGCAUCGUAUGAUGGACGUGCGUCUUGUUGUAUAUUGAACGUUGUACAACGAAUCUUAGAUGUACUUUUACCAAAUUUUCAGUGAAGAGAACGAGUAGAAAAAUGAUGAUUAAAUUAAGAAAAAUACGUUUGGUCUUGUUCUGCCCCAUAUUUUCGGGGAGGAAAGCCAGACAAAUGCUGAUUAAAACUUUUCUUGUUUUGCCUGACACAAAAAUGACGCAUAAACUUGCGGAUUUGAAACUUGGGUUUAAAACGAUUAUCUCCAAUUUUUGGUACAACGUUGGCUGUGUUAUAACCUGUUCCAUGUUGGUCGAUUGCUGCACUCUUUUUGGUUAUUCGUUGUUUUAUAGCGAUUUUAAUUUGAAUUGUUAUGAUAUAGUUUACACAGGCGUAAAGACAAGUGCACAGCAGAUCAGGAGAACCAUUAGAUAGCAGAAAGCGACCGCACGCGUUUUUGUCAUUUUACUGAUGAAAGAUUCGCUAUGUCGCAUCUAAAAAAACGAAAACUGUACACUUUUGGUUUUAUAGAAUACUUGUAUUUCUGUUUACUCGUGAAACUACACGCAUCGAAGAAUAGUUGCGCAAUGUUGUACCUCAAAUUCAAAGUCUCCAAUCAAAGCCAAGCUUGUGCCACGUGAGCAUAAAAUUUAUCAUCGAAUCGCGCCUUACGUCAUUAAGUUACCCACUUGACUCAUAUCUCAUGGCGAUUUGCUCAUGCCACAGGAGACAUGAUUCGCGUAAACCACGCGCGGCGAUUAUACUUUCAAAAAUCUCGGGGGUUUUUGUGAAAAUUUUAAAGCAAAUUUUGAAAAAUAUUGUCAUCUAUAUUCCAAACUAUAGGUGAUUCGGCAGAAUGGCGACGAUACUUAAUCCAAAAAUAAAACAUCGAAUUCGCGAAGGCAUGUCUCAAGUUUUACAUGCUCAACUUAGACGCUUUUAAUUUUUGGGACAAUAUAUCUUUUAUAGACUCUCUGCUUGAGGGAUUCGGCGAAAUAUUACCCUCGGUGAUGAUAUUUCCUUACUAACUUCGGGUAAUAUUUCUCCGAAUCACCAUCGCUCCAGGUCUAUCAAUGAUAAAUGUCCAAUCUACCAGACGCACGUCUAUCGUAUGAUGUAACUUUAAACACUGAUAUAGGUAUAUGCACAUGUAAUCUGUGAAUUAUAGUAAGAAGGUACAGUAUAUCAGAAACUUAUUUACUCCGAGGCUGUAACGGAUUUGACAAAAUUAGCAAAUUCCUUUCAAGCUGAGGUCAUAUGAACAGGCAGGCCUGUAGACAAAUGAGAAAGCAAUUUUCUGAAUUUAUCCGCAAUUUCCUGAGCUUGUUAUAGAAAUUUGCAAAUUCAGAUCAUUUGAUGUUCAAAUCUUUCACUGUCCUAUGUCCCUGUGAAUUUUUCACUGUCCUUUGUAUUUGUGAAGGAGAUGUAAUUAUCACAUGGCCUAAAAUGAACAACUAAUUGUUUACAAAGCUCAUGAGCUAUCCAGGUUAAUAGCACUACGAGGUCACGUGACAUAUAACAUCAAUAACAUCAAAGAACGUGUACUGCUGGUGUUCUAGUAAGCUUCCACAAUGAUAGACUAUAAUGGCAAUAUUCUAACUAACAUAAAAGUUUUGUACACGUAUACGAAAGCUUCUUCAUCUUGUACGUAGUAUAUUAUACCCUUCAAGGAAUAUGUAAGUAUCGGUUUGAUAAUGUUAUGUCAGGUUUUAGAAAGAAUAACAACUUCUAACAGUAUUGAAAGGAUUAGUAUCACACCAUGGUAGUGCUCAUUCAAAUUCCACAUUAUGGGUCUAGUACAUCAGUUGGUCUGGGAAUGUUUUUGUAAUCCGUCGUAUAUUGAGAACCCUUGCUUCUUUUAUCUCAGUGAUUGUUAUUGGAAAUGUACAAACAAGUUAAUUUCAUCGUCAUUUGUUUCUUCUGGGUAAGAUAAAAACUCUAAGAAAAGCCCGCUAUAUAUAGACUAAAACUGUCUGCACAAGUGUAGGUAGUACCAAUGUAGAAAUGCUGUGCUGAGUGGUUAUAUUACUACCUUCGCUCGAGUUCCCGCUAUAUAUACCAUGGUGUAACACUAAUCCUUUAACUGUAUUAUGUUUCAUUUCGAACUCUAUGUUGGAUGGUAAAAACGAGUCGUCGAACAAAGUGGUCCAAAACAAAUGAUUCAAAAUCUAUUAGAGUAUUAUCUUAAACACAAUUUGUUUUGUCAAGGCGAUUGAGAUCGGACGACCUCUUAGUGCAAGUCCCCUAUUACACGCGUGAAAUUCUCACAGCUUGCAAACAAAAUGUGUUCUCACGGCUUGUUAACUGCUGUUGACAAGUCUUGAAAAAGUUGUUAUCAUCUUGUAACUAACUAGGUUGAUCAGGCCAACAGACUUGCAACAAGUUGUUCCAGCAAGUUUGAUAUCGUCUGCUUGCACGUAACAAGUAACAAGUUGAUGACAACAAGCUCGUAGCAACUUUUUAUCGAACAGCCUGUAAUAGUCUUGUUGGACAUAAUCAACCUUGUAAGAAAUUAUAACAACUUGUUCUAGGCUUCUCAAAACAACUGGAAUCAAGCUGUGCGAACACAUUAUGAGAUGGGCUUGACAACAACCUUGUUACAACUUGUUUUCAAGUUUGUAACAACUUGUGUAUUUUCACGUCUGUAUUCCUAAACCAGCCUUUUACUAAAUAAGUAAUAUAUUCUAACCAAAUGAUAUACUUACAUCUGGUCAAUAUUCUGUAACGUAGCUUUUGUAACGUUGCUUAGUUAAAAUUAAUUAAAAUGCUUAACUUUGAUG